AUUGAACGCUGGCGGCAUGCCUUACACAUGCAGGUCGAACGGUAACGGGCCUUCGGGUGCCGACGAGUGGCGAACGGGUGAGUAAUGUAUCGGAACGUACCUUUCAGUGGGGGAUAACGUAGCGAAAGUUACGCUAAUACCGCAUAUUCUGUGCGCAGGAAAGCAGGGGAUCGCAAGACCUUGCGCUGAUUGAGCGGCCGAUAUCAGAUUAGCUAGUUGGUGAGGUAAAGGCUCACCAAGGCGACGAUCUGUAGCGGGUCUGAGAGGAUGAUCCGCCACACUGGAACUGAGACACGGUCCAGACUCCUACGGGAGGCAGCAGUGGGGAAUUUUGGACAAUGGGGGCAACCCUGAUCCAGCCAUGCCGCGUGAGUGAAGAAGG
rnacentral:rRNA from 1 species